UACGUGAGGGGCAAGCGUUGUCCGGAUUUAUUGGGCGUAAAGAGCUACGUAGGCGGUUUGGUAAGUCAGGUGUGAAAUCUCCACGCUCAACGUGGAGGGGCCACCUGAUACUGGCCAUGACUGGAGUCCGGUAGAGGAGUGUGGAAUUCCCGGUGUAGCGGUGAAAUGCGCAGAUAUCAGGAAGAACACCUAUGGCGAAGGCAGCUCUCUGGGACGGUACUGACGCUGAGACGCGAAAGCGUGGGGAGCGAACAGG
rnacentral:rRNA from 1 species